rnacentral:rRNA from 1 species
GGCAGACGGGAUGAGUAACGCGUGGGAACGUACCCUUGACUACGGAAUUAACGCAUGGGAAACUUGUGCUAAUACCUGUAUGUGCCCUUCGGGGGAAAGAUUUAUCGGUAAGGGGAUCGGCCCGCGUUGGAUUAGCCUAGUUGGUGGGGUAAAGGCCUACCAAGGCGACGAUCCAUAGCUGGUCUGAGAGGAUGAUCAGCCACAUUGGGACUGAGACACGGUCCAAACUCAUACGGGAGGCAGCAGUGGGGAAUAUUGGACAAUGGGCGCAAGCCUGAUCCAGCCAUGCCGCGUGAGUGAUGAAGGCCCUAGGGUUGUAAAGCUCUUUCACCGGAGAAGAUAAUGACGGUAUCCGGAGAAGAAGCCCCGGCUAACUACGUGCCAGCAGCCGCGG